UUUAUGGUGGAUGCAAAAGAUUACUCCUUGAUUUCAACACUGCAAAAAUUGAGAUUGGGCAAAUCUAUGGUUCAUUAGUAUCAUCAACUGUGAUCUUUUGUUUAUGUCUAAUUUGUGGUUCAGAAUUUCCGCUUGCACCUGUGUCUAGAAAUUAAGAGGAGAAAACUUGGGAUAAAUCUAUUUGAUAAACAGUGCUUAUUGGAAAUGAUACUUAAGGGGUUAGAUUGUUUCGUGUUUCAAGUGAUACUGUUGCAUUCGUGGCGAAAAAAGAGUUCGCUCCAGAAGAAUAUAAGCUUAUAUCUUCUAGAUCAGAUAUGUAAUGUCGCUUUAGAGAUGAAAGAGGUACAGGUCGCCCUAGAGGAAGAUAAGCCUAUACUUUCUAGAUCAGAUAUGUAAUGUCGCUUUAGAGAUGAAAGAGGUACAGAAAAGACCAGGGUUUGAGCCAGAAAAGACCAGGGUUUGGACCAGAAAAGGCCAUUGAGGUCGAAGGGAAGGAAUGAUUGACGGGUCUUAGGGCACAGUCUUGUCCCUUUUGGGCUGGGCUGCUAAGGGAUCUCCCUUUGAUCAUUCCUAACUUCAGCCUCGAUGGACCACGUGGCCGAAGAAAAGAGAUGAUUGAAAGGUCUUAGAGCACAGUCUUGUCCCUUCUUGGGCUGGGCUGCUAAGGGAUCUCCUGGAGAUCGUUUCUAGCUUCAGUCGUCGUUGGUCUAAGAGGUCGAAGGAAAAAAAAAAGGAAUGAUUCACGGAUCUUAGGGCACAGUCUUGCCUCUUCUUGGGGCUGGGCUGCUAAGGGAUCUCCCUUGGAUCAUUCUUAACUUCAGCCUCGAUAGACCACGUGGCCGAAGAGAAGAAAUGAUUGAAAGGUCUUAGAGCACAGUCUUGUCCCUUCUUGGGGCUGGGCUGCUAAGGGAUCUCCUGAAGAUCAUUUCUAACUUCCGUUGUCGUUGGUCUAAGAGGUCGAAGGGAAAAAAGGAAUGAUUGACGGGUCUUAGAGUACAGUCUUGUCCCUUCUUGGGGCUGGGCUGCUAAGGGAUCUCCCUUCUAUCAUUCCUAACUUCUGCCUCCAUAGACCACGUGGCUGAAGACAAGAGAUGAUUGAAAGGUCUUAGAGCACAGUCUUGUCCCUUCUUGGGCUGGGCUGCUAAGGGAUCUCCUUGAGAUUAUUUCUAACUUCAGCUGUCGUUGGUCUAAGAGGUGGAAGAAAACAAGGGAAUGAUUGACGGGUCUUAGAGUACAGUCUUGUCCUUUCUUGGGACUGGGCUGCUAAGGGAUCUCCCUUCUAUCAUUCCUAACUUCAGCCUCCAUGGACCACGUGACUGAAGACAAGAGAUUAUUGAAAGGUCUUAGAGCACAGUCUUGUCCCUUCUUGGGCUGGGCUGCUAAGGGAUCUCCUUGAGAUUAUUUCUAACUUCAGCUGUCGUUGGUCUAAGAGGUGGAAGAAAACAAGGGAAUGAUUGACGGGUCUUAGAGUACAGUCUUGUCCCUUCUUGGGACUGGGCUGCUAAGGGAUCUCCCUUCUAUCAUUCCUAACUUCAGCCUCCAUAGACCACGUGGCUGAAGACAAGAGAUGAUUGAAAGGUCUUAGAGCACAGUCUUGUCCCUUCUUGGGCUGGGCUGCUAAGGGAUCUCCUGGAGAUUAUUUCUAACUUCAGCUGUCGUUGGUCCAACGGGUCGAAGAAAAAUAAGGGAAUGAUUGACGGGUCUUAGGCACCAGUCUUGUCCCUUCUUGGGUCAGGGCUGCUAAGGGAUCUCCCGUUGAUCCUUCCUAACUUCAGCCUUCGAUGGUCCCAGUGGUCGAAGAAAAGGAACGAUUGAAGGGUCUUAGAGCACAGUCUUGUCCCUUCUUAGGGCUGGGCUGCUAAGGGAUCUCCCGGAAGUCGUUCCCAACUUUAGCCAACGAUGGACCCGGAGCGAUUAAGCAAGAUUUGAUCGUCAAUGUGAGUAAUAUCAUACAAAUUAAUUUAGAUUGCAUCGACUACAUGUUUCGUUAUCCUGAUGACCUCUUCAGGGAAUUCGAUCCCGUGAAAAAAUUUGCGACGUUGUCAAAUCGCUUUUUUCGUCCCCGAAACACCGUCGACGGCGUUGCCACGUUUCUCCAUUCGUCCCGGAAACCGGGAAACCCCUCCGAUUUCUUCCCCCCCUGGCUCGCGGGGGGGUUUUGAUCGCCCCCUCGUAAAUAAGGCCCGACACGUCAG